UGUCGUUUUGGACUGUGAGACAAUUUGGAGCUUCGCUAUCCACCUUUUACCUGUAAAAUAAAACCUGAGCAGUCGAUAUCCGCAGAAGAGAGGCCCUCCUGCCAGACAGGCUACUUUCUCCACCAGCCUUUUAAAAGAGAACAUCACCUUGCAGGGGCAGCGGAGAGUCCAGUCCUGCAGCUACAGCCUGGUGGAUGCAGACUUCCUGUCCUGCUAAAGAGCUGCCAGUCAGGGGAGCAGUUGUCAAUUUACAACGGAAGCGGCGGUCAGAUAUUUUACACCGUCUUUCCUGGAAACCCAACACUGCAACGAGCAGCCGAGCGGCAGGAGGGAAGAGAGAGAAAGUUUUCACUCGUUCCCUGGAGGCGAGAGAAGAUGAAUGAGGGAGGGGAAAAAGUGCACGACAGGGUGAUAACAAGUUUCCGGGGGGGAAGCCAGAAGGCAGCUUUCACCACUGUGAAGAGUCCAGACGAGGAGCUGGCAGAGUCAGUAUCUCUCAAAUCUGCAGCAGGAGCAUCACUGACGAAGACGCGGAGUCAGAGCAAGACAGACGGUAUCGACGAU